GUCCACGCCGUAAACGAUGAGUACUAGGUGUUGCGGGUAUUGACCCCUGCAGUGCCGCAGCUAACGCAUUAAGUACUCCGCCUGGGAAGUACGGUCGCAAGACUAAAACUACAAGGAAUUGACGGGGGCCCGGCACAAGCGGUGGAGCAUGUGGUUUAAUUCGACGCAACGCGCAGAACCUUACCUGGGCUUGACAUCUACGGAACCCUCCCGAACGGAGGGGUGCCCUUCGGGGAGCCGUAAGACAGGUGCUGCAUGGCUGUCGU
rnacentral:rRNA from 1 species